UGGGGAAUAUUGCACAAUGGGCGAAAGCCUGAUGCAGCAACGCCGCGUGAGUGAUGAAGGCCUUCGGGUUGUAAAGCCCUGUCUUUUGGGACGAUAAUGACGGUACCAAAGGAGGAAGCCACGGCUAACUACGUGCCAGCAGCCGCGGUAAUACGUAGGUGGCAAGCGUUGUCCGGAUUUACUGGGCGUAAAGGAUGCGUAGGCGGAUUUUUAAGUGAGAUGUGAAAUACCCGGGCUUAACUUGGGUGCUGCAUUUCAAACUGGGAAUCUAGAGUGCGGGAGAGGAGAAUGGAAUUCCUAGUGUAGCGGUGAAAUGCGUAGAGAUUAGGAAGAACACCAGUGGCGAAGGCGAUUCUCUGGACCGUAACUGACGCUGAGGCAUGAAAGCGUGGGUAGCAAACAGGAUUAGAUACCCUGGUAGUCCACGCCGUAAACGAUGAGUACUAGGUGUAGGAGGUAUCGACCCCUUCUGUGCCGCAGUUAACACAAUCAAGUACUCCGCCUGGGAAGUACGAUCGCAAGAUUAAAACUCAAAGGAAUUGACGGGGUCAAUAGCUG
rnacentral:rRNA from 1 species